rnacentral:rRNA from 1 species
UACGGAAGGCAGCAGUGGGGAAUAUUGCACAAUGGGCGCAAGCCUGAUGCAGCCAUGCCGCGUGUAUGAAGAAGGCCUUCGGGUUGUAAAGUACUUUCAGUCGUGAGGAAGGUGUUAAGGUUAAUAACCUUAGCAAUUGACGUUAGCGACAGAAGAAGCACCGGCUAACUCCGCGCCAGCAGCCGCGGUAAUACGGAGGGUGCGAGCGUUAAUCGGAAUUACUGGGCGUAAAGGGCACGCAGGCGGUUAAUUAAGUUGGAUGUGAAAUCCCCGGGCUUAACCUGGGAAUGGCAUUCAAGACUGGUUAGCUAGAGUCUUGUAGAGGGGGUAGAAUUCCAUGUGUAGCGGUGAAAUGCGUAGAGAUGUGGAGGAAUACCGGUGGCGAAGGCGGCCCCUGGGACAAAGGACUGACGCUCAUGUGCGAAAGCGUGGGGAGCAAACGAGGAUUAGAUACC